rnacentral:rRNA from 1 species
GGGUCCGGACACACUGAGGAUUGACAGGCAAUUAUUGCUAACAGUUUCUUUUUUUAAAAGUACUGUUGCAACAACAAAUAUGCUAGUCCUUUCAUGAUUAUGUGAUAGGUGGUGCAUGGCCGUUCUUAGUUCGUGGAGUGAUCUGUCUGCUUAAUUGCGUUUCAUUAUGGACCAUGUUAUAACAUGUACUAUCUCUUGAUUUUCAAAUUUUNAUUUAUUUGAGAUUUGUUAUAAAGAAGGAGUUUUGGUGCAAUUGGUCCUGAAAGCAACGAACGUGACCGCAUCCUCUUGUUGCCUUUUUAACUUGGCAUUUUUUUUAAUUUAUUUUAACAUUUUUGUCAUAACAUAAGAGGCUUUCAGAAAACUAGAGGGACCGCUGCGACUUUUUUAAACCAGAGGAAGGUUGCGGCAAUAACAGGUCUGUGAUGCCCUUAGAUGUUCCGGGCUGCACACGUGCUACAAUGAUUAUUGCAGUGAGCAUCUCAUUUUAUUUUUUGUGCUUGUCUUGUCUGCGAGUUUAUUCUCAACGACGACAGCCUUAGCCUGCUUCGAAAGUUCGCAGGU